rnacentral:rRNA from 1 species
ACCGUACUCCUACGGGAGGCAGCAGUGGGGAAUAUUGCGCAAUGGGCGAAAGCCUGAUGCAGCAACGCCGCGUGAGGGAUGACGGCCUUCGGGUUGUAAACCUCUUUUAGUAGGGAAGAAGCGAAAGUGACGGUACCUGCAGAAAAAGCACCGGCUAACUACGUGCCAGCAGCCGCGGUAAUACGUAGGGUGCAAGCGUUGUCCGGAAUUAUUGGGCGUAAAGAGCUCGUAGGCGGUUUGUCGCGUCUGCUGUGAAAUCCCGAGGCUCAACCUCGGGUCUGCAGUGGGUACGGGCAGACUAGAGUGUGGUAGGGGAGAUUGGAAUUCCUGGUGUAGCGGUGGAAUGCGCAGAUAUCAGGAGGAACACCAAUGGCGAAGGCAGAUCUCUGGGCCAUUACUGACGCUGAGGAGCGAAAGCAUGGGGAGCGAACAGGAUUAGAAACCCGAGUAGUCCUUGAC